ACGCGAAGAACCUUACCUGGGCUUAAAUGUAGGACGACGACGUUUCGUGAAAGCGGAAUUUCCUUCGGGACGUCUUACAAGGUGCUGCAUGGUUGUCGUCAGCUCGUGCCGUGAGGUGUCGGGUUAAGUCCCAUAACGAGCGCAACCCUUAUCAUUAGUUGCCAUCAGGUAAUGCUGGGAACUCUAAUGAAACUGCCUACGCAAGUAGUGAGGAAGGUGGGGAUGACGUCAAAUCAGCACGGCCCUUAUGUCCAGGGCGACACACGUGCUACAAUGGCCAGUACAGAGGGUUGCUACCUGGUGACAGGAUGCUAAUCUCAAAAGCUGGUCUCAGUUCGGAUUGAAGUCUGCAACUCGACUUCAUGAAGUUGGAUUCGCUAGUAAUCGCGCAUCAGCCAUGGCGCGGUGAAUACGUUCCCGGGCCUUGUACACACCGCCCGUCAAGCCAUGGGAGUUGGCGGUACCUAAAGUCCGUAACCGCAAGGUGCCGUCCUAGGGUAAAACCAAUGACUGGGGCUAAGUCGUAACAAGGUAGCCGUA
rnacentral:rRNA from 1 species